GAUGGUUCUUUUUAUUUUGUCACACUGUAUUCUUAUCUCCCCAAUUCAGAAAUGUAUGCAGCAAUAUUUGAUGUUAAAAGUAUAAAAAUAUCAAGUGAGACGCAAGGAGAAAGAUUAGAAAUGAAUAAGGUGGAUAUUUUUGCAUGUAUUUAUAAAUGCUCAGAAUCAAUUACACAAGAGGAGAGUCUUGAGGAAACAAAGAAAAAGAAAAUAAAAACUGUUAAACCAUGGUGUAAGGCCAUGACCAGAAUUUAUGAUGGACUUAGUGCCUUUGAGUGUGCUUGGGAGUCAAUGCGGGCCAACCUGUCUUCAGUGUGAUGAAUACCUCUUCCAAAGAGCAUAUUUGGUUUUGAUGAAGUAUAGACUACUAAAUUCAAACUAGAGGCUCAACCUAACUCUAGUUUGUUUUCAUUCAUAAUCUGUCCUUUUUACCUUAAGAAACUUAAAAAGUACAAAAUAACAUAAAAAAUAAACAAGUAAUUGUAUUCCUAGCCCCUAGUUUAAUGAUGGAGAAGUAGUCAUACUACUUUGAUUAUUUUAAAUACAAAAGAGCUAAAAUACUCAAGACAGGUUUGAAGGUAUAUUUCCCCCAAGCUCUUCCUACAUCCCCAAAGGCAUCUUGUGUGCUGAAUUUGGCAUAAUUGUGUUCUAAACAUUUUUCAUUUGUGGCUCCUUGGUUCUGAACUCAUUUCUAGGUACAAGCAGGUCCUCCACACCAGCAGUCUUUGCUUCUGACCCUGCCACCUGCCCCAUCAUCCCAGGCUGUGAGACAACAAUUGAGAUUUCCAAAGGCCAAACAGGCCUGGGACUGAGUAUUGUUGGGGGCUCAGACACACUGCUGGUAAGUAUGUUACUCAAGAAGCCACACCACAGGAGCCCUCAAGUGCCCCAAGAGACCAUGAGGAGGAGAUUUGCAUUUCUUUUAUUAAGUCUGAUGUGACAGCUCAGAAAAAAAAUACAUCAUUGGUAACAAAAACUUAGGAUUAUGACUUUGACUAAGCCAAGACCAACUUAAAUAGACUCUGUCAUGCAUAAGAUAUCAGAGUUUGUAUAAUGUCACUUGUGCUUGGUUUUGUUUAACUUCUUUACUUAUACCCAGGUUACCUCAGCCCCAUAUUGAGAAGAGUAUGAAAUUCUUGAUAUACAAUUUUUUACAUGUCAAAACACUUUAAAAAAUCUUUUCCCUUAUAGAUAGGAAGGUUGCUAUAUCUCUGUUAUAUUCAUGUAUGCUUUAGAAAUCUUAGAGUUUUAUGUUCAGUUUUCUUUAUCCCUAGAUAAAAAGUAUAUGCCUUGUUUAGCCUGUUAAAGAAAUCGUAUCCUUAGGUAUUUUCUGACAUCAUGUGGUGUGUGGCUCACAUACAGACCCAGCAAGUAUUCUUUUUAGUAGUUUAUCCAAGUACAGUGUCUUUUGUUCUUUCUUCUCAGCCUUCCUAGGGAGAAUGGAUAACACUGCUGUAUGUUAUGUUUGGACCCUAGGGUGCUAUUAUUAUCCAUGAAGUUUAUGAAGAGGGAGCAGCGUGUAAAGAUGGAAGACUAUGGGCUGGAGACCAGAUUUUAGAGGUACAAAGGCUGCUUGUUAACGUAGUGUGAGAAGCACAGGCCAAGGGUGGUGAGCUUUUCUUCCUUCGUCCUCUUCCUCCUUCCUCUCUCCUCCAUUCUGUCACUUAUCUCACCUAGCUCCUCACCAUGGCAACCUGUUUCUGCACAGGUAAAUGGGAUUGACUUGCGAAAGGCUACACAUGAUGAAGCAAUCAAUGUCCUGAGGCAGACGCCUCAAAGAGUACGGCUGACGCUCUACCGAGAUGAGGCCCCAUACAAAGAGGAGGAUGUCUGUGAUACCUUCACCAUCGAGCUGCAGAAGAGGCCAGGCAAAGGCCUUGGGUUGAGUAUUGUUGGCAAAAGGUGUGUUGGAGAGAACAAACUCAGGGUGCUUUUGAAACUGAAUGUCACCUUAAUUGAAGGUAUCACUAGUUUAUGUUCUGCCCUUGUAGACCGCAUAAGUCAGGGUGUUACAGGGUUAUAUAGUCUUCAGGAAAGGGGCAGUUGGUAUGAAGUAUCUGCUGUGUUAUAUCUUGAGGAUCAGUUAGAUAAGAAAUAAUUCUUGACCUAGGAAAAUUCAUCCUUAAAGGCUGAAGACAUGACUUAGUGCUUUAGAGCAUUUGUUGCUCCUCUACAGGACCUGGGUUCAUUUUCCAGCGUCCUUACUGGGUGUCUUACAACUGUCUGUAACUAUAACUCCAGAGGCUCG
rnacentral:lncRNA from 1 species